UAUGUGAUCGUCUCUCGCAUAUCAAUAAGCGGAGGAAAAGAAACUAACAAGGAUUCCCCUAGUAACGGCGAGUGAAGCGGGAAGAGCUCAAAUUUGAAAUCUUAAAGGGUUUUCCCUUUACGAAUUGUAGUUUAAAGAAGUGUUUUCUGUUGAGGUUUUGGUAAAAGUUCUUUGGAAUAGGACAUCAUAGAGGGUGAGAAUCCCGUAUUUGACCUUUACUUUCAACUUUGUGAUACACUUUCAAAGAGUCGGAUUGUUUGGGAAUGCAGUCCAAAAUGGGUGGUAAAUUUCAUCUAAAGCUAAAUAUUGGCGAGAGACCGAUAGCGAACAAGUACCGUGAGGGAAAGAUGAAAAGAACUUUGAAAAGAGAGUUAAACAGUACGUGAAAUUGUCAAAAGGGAAGCGUUUGACACCAGUGUUGUUUUUCUGAAAAUCAAUUAAAGAACUGUUUAUGCUAAGUUGUUUAGACUUUAUCAGCUAACUGUUUAGUUUUGAGCUUUUCUUUAAUGCACUUUUCAGUUAACAAGUCAACAUCCAAUUUCUUUUGCUGUAAAAAAGCUUGAGGAAGGUGGCUUGAGAUUCGUCUUAAGUGUUUAUAGCCUCUUGCCUAUGCAGUCGGAGAGAUUGAGGUCUGCAGCGUAGAUCCUUCGGGGCUAAAUGCAUUUGUGCUAAGUUAUAGCAUUUUAUAGACAACUUGUUGACUAUGAUUUGUCUUGUAGCUUACUCGCUUAUGUUAUUUUACCUACGCUUAGGAUGUUGAUCUACAGAGCGAGAGU
rnacentral:rRNA from 1 species